ensembl:lncRNA
GGCGCCUGGAUCCUUCGUACCCAUUCGUAAGCUGAAGGCUGGAGGAUGAUGCACCUGUCUUUGAGGCCGUGCAGAGUCAGGCUGUGAAGCGGUCAGCGUGUCGUGGAUGGGACGUCCGAGGGCCCCGGAACCCACAGGUGGAAAUGGCACCUGGAUCUGAAGGUCAGCAAGACAUUUUCAAAAUGUCUGAAAUUAUUGUUUUCUCUUUCCUUGGCUGUGAGUUUCUUCCCCUGGCUGCUUCUAUUAAGCAACUCGAGUGUUUUCCUCCUGGCUCCGGGCCGCUCAGCUGAGUGAUGACUGCAUCUCCUUGGUGGGGACACCAGAAUGCCAGGCCCUGCCUGGAAACCGUGGAGCUUGGGCAGGCCACUGUCAUCCCAAAUGUGAGAUGGAAAGUUUGCUUUUGAAAAAUGCACAUGGUGAAAGAAAACAUGUUAUUUAAGCAUGGGAAUAAAAGCAG